rnacentral:misc_RNA from 1 species
GCAUUUAUUUGAUUGAGCCCAGGAACUCACCACUGAUUUCAAAUCUAGUAAACAAACUGAUCACGUUAUGAUGAACCAAUAAUAUCUUGAUGGCGGCGAGGGAACCCAGUAUAUGUGUGUUAGGAGCUGGGGUUAUUGGACUUUCCAGUGCGGUGCGGAUCCAGGACAAAUUCCCUCGUUGUGAUGUCACUCUUUUGGCCGACAGAUUUAGUCCGGAUACAACGUCCGACGGAUCCGGGGGAUUCUGGCUUCCCCAUCUAGUGGGCGGAACCAACCAGGAUUCAAUCUCUAAAUGGAGUGCAAGCACCUUGGAUUAUAUGAUAUCUUUAACAAAAUCCCCGCUGGCCAAUCAGAUCGGAGUACACCUGGUGUCGGGCUAUUCCUUCUUCUCCGAACCACAGUGUCCAGAAUGGCGGAAAUUAGUGCUGGGAUACCGGGAGGUGACCGACAAAGAGUUGAAGCUGCUUCUUCCAAAAGCGAAGUUUGGCGUAUUUUAUACCACGGUCAUGAUCAAUGUGAAGGCUUACCUCCCUUGGUUAAUUUCAAGGUUUAAACAGAAAAACGGAAAAGUGAUUCAAUCCAGAGUUGACAAGAUCGAAGACCUGCUGCAGAAGUACGACAUCGUUGUCAACUGUACUGGAAUAGGAGCCAAUAAACUGGCCAACGACAGUGACGUCAUACCUAUUCGUGGACAGGUCACUAGGGUAAUGACAUCAUUUCUGUACAUGUAUCUCAAAUAAUUUAAACAUUUAGCAUUGACAAUUAUUUUUCUAUUUUUAAGGUGAAAGCUCCUUGGAUCAAACAUUUCAUGACAUAUGAAGGAUCUGAUGAACACUGUGAAAAAUACAUUCUGCCAGGAACUGAUACAGUCGUUCUAGGAGGCACGGGUCAACGAGGAGACUGGAAUACACAAAUCGACGACAGAGACCAACAGAUGAUCUGGGACGGGUGUCUGGAAAUGAUACCUAGUCUGAAGCACGCGGAAAUGAUAAGACAUUGGGCGGGUCUCCGUCCCCACAGAUCGUCUGGUGUUCGAAUUGAAACUGAGAAGUUUUCUGGUGGAAAAAUGGUGGUACAUAAUUACGGACAUGGGGGUGCAGGAGUCACAUUACACUGGGGGUGUGCUGGACAAGUCGUAGAGGAAAUUCGGGCAGCGAUCAAGUCAACAGUUUCAAGACUGUGAUACAUGUAAAACACGACAGUAUACUAGUAUAUCAAUCAUACUUGUAUGCUUCAUACAUAUUUUAAUAUGCUAAGAUAGUUUGAGGUCACAAUGAACAGUGUUUAUUUUAAAAUAAUCAGACUCUUUUAUUCAAGGUAAAACGAGUAAUUAAAAUAACUAGACAUGAUGUAAAAAUCACUUUAAAUGAUGUUUCUUGUUACUAAGUACAAAUUCUAUAUAUUUUUUUAAUGAAUAGAAAUGUAAUAUAUGAUUAAACUUCAAUAAAAGAAACAUACCAAAAUC